rnacentral:lncRNA from 1 species
AGCCUGGACUUCUACUCAGCGAGGAAGCGGUGGCCAGGUACUGGGUGGCAGCUGCGCAUGGGUCGUUCCUUCCUUCAGGUGUAGUCUGGAGAUGGGAACAGUUUGUCCUCAGUAAGCUGUCAGAAGCCUUGGCUGAGGUGACCUUAUUAGCACUCUGAUGCACAGUGACAGAGGUUGGGCUUCCCGGGCCCCCUGAGUUACUGCAGUAAACCCAGAGGGCUCUAUGCUGAGUCCCUCAUUGUCCAGACAAGGGGAGUGAGGCUGGAGAGCUGAGAAGCCAGCAGACCUCUGAGGAAGACACAGAUAAAUGGAGAAACCUCCCGAGGGUCGCUGCAUUCGGGGUGAAUUGGCAUCCAACGGUCCUGAGUGGGCUCGGCAGGCCCCAGCUCUCUGGAGUAAAUGCCUUUGUCUGUGUUCUGUGGGCCUGACACCAUUUAUGGGUUUACUCCACUGACUGGGUAUGAUCACGUCUGUCCAAAGAGUUUUGCCAACAGGAAAUGCAUAUGAGCACUUUAUUGUUGUGGGUGUGGAGAACAGAGUGAUCCCUGCCGCUUCCUUACCUUGGACAAGCCCUGUCUCCAGUCCACCUCACAGAUCUGGUCACUUGUCUGUCCCUCACUGGCCUCAUGCUGCCAAAGUCACUCAUCUCAGGAGUACAGACCCGGGGACCAGCGGGACUGGGAACUUCAUUCCGUUAAGAUCAAGCCCCCCACGGCCUUCUGCCUUGGGGCUGCCUCUCUGAGAAACUCUGGGGUGCACCUCAGCCUCUAUCCCAUUCCUGCCUUCUGUCCAACUGGCCUUCUUUCCUACUUCAUGCUGUGGGCCCAUGAGAUUUCUUUAGACAGGAGGUCUCCCUCCCUGCCUGUCCUCCCUAGUCCUGGCUGGCUCUCCACUCAUUCCUCAUGGUGAUCUCCUGGCCUUUCUCAGUGACUGGAUAGGAAGAGGUAUGUCUGACCAGUGGCUCAGUGGGAGUCAGAAGGGGGCUUGAAACGCCAAGGACCACAGAUACGCUCCUCUCUGGCAUUACCAAGGUCAUUCUUUGUUUCAUAAGAGAGUCCAAAAGAGGACAAAGUUGAUCAUGGAGAGUUGCAGGGUGCCUUCUGGCGUUGAGAACGGCCCAGAAGUGGACAUGGCCUGGACUUCUUUACAUCCCUGGUGCUUGAUGGUUGUUUGUUUUGGUUACUCUUGUCUGCCUGUCUUGUCUUGCCUUUAUGGUUAUACCAAGCCAAGAAGAACUAGGCAUCCCGGGCUGCCAUGCUUAUGAGUUACUUAAUCACCAAACAAGUAAGGGCUGUUGUCCCUAGCUUCAUUGAUGCCUGGCUGUAGGUGAUCUGGUUACGUGUAUGAGCUCUUAAGAGUGAUGGACAAUUAAGACUCCUGCUACUCCCCACCCCCGCCAUCCCUGACUUUGUUCACAUGGUCACAAAUGGCUUCGUCACUUCCAGCCUUCACAUUUAAUUUCCAGGCCAAGAGAAUGGAGGAAAGGGGCAAGUUUACAUUAGCUGAAUCUAUACUUUUUAAUCAAGAAAACAUGACCUUUAAAAAGCCUGGCCAUAAAACUCUUUGUACUUGAGAUUUGUUGGAAAUAGGUUGUAUCGCAGCUAGAGCUGGAAAGAUCAUAUUUUGCAGAGGAUUUUGUUAGAGAUGAGAGGGGAGAAAUGCAUGCUGGGUAGAAAGAAUGAUUGGCACCUGCAAGGAAGAAGCCCAGUGAGCACAACCCCCUUUUCCAAACAUCUGAGGCUGUUCUGGGUCACCGCCACCUUCCACAGACGCCUCAGCAGUCACCCAUUGUAGCUGCACUAGACCAUAAGUUCCUUGCCAGACUCUCCCUGAGUGCACAGGAUACAAGCAGACAUCCCUGUACCUCACCUCCCAAACUGGGCUGCAAACCACACGUGAUCCGAUUCAUCCUCCGUGCUCACCGUCCGCAUCAGUACAUCUCUGGUCCUUCUGCUGGUUGAUGGUUGGAACCCUCAUCUCUUGGGACAUCUCCUCUCCAGAGUUGAGUCACCUAUCUGAAACCUUCACUGCCCUAGGUUUUUCCAACCUGUGCCCCUCACACUGAAUAUUUGUCACGGAGCAAUGAUAACAAAAGCUCCCUGUGGGGUGAAAGCACAUGCAUACAUCCUUAUACUCCUGCCAUACAUGGAGGAGAUGUUGGGCACAUACCACUCAGCUCUGGCAACCUCCAUCUGGGUGCUGUGGGUGAGCCCCGAAAAGAGCAACAGAGUUCAAAACCCAGACUUGUGCAUUUGCUUGCUAUGAUCUGAAAAGUCCAAGGUCAACAUGAACCUCAGUGGCCAGUACAUGAUCUGCUCCUCCAUCACCCACCAUGCUGGCCCCCAACAGCAACAUGUCUGGAACUGUAAAAAGCCCCUUUCUCGAGUCUUUCUAGUCCUUGGGUCUCCCUGCCUAGGGGGAAUGAUUACCUUGAACACAAGAGUUUGGGAUGCAGGGCACUGCUUUCCACAAAGGAAAUCAUAUGCUAUGUCAUCUUGAAUGAAUUUAUUUGUUUACAAUUACGUGGAUGAGAUUCUCUCAGGUCUCCGUGGGAGUUGUGGUUUCUUUAUUCCUAUUGUUGUAUAACAUUGAACUUUAAGAAUAUAUUGCAAUUUUCUAGUUGUCAGUGAUAACAAAUGGUGUGCCAUGAACAUUUGGAAUAGGUCUACAAUUUUGUCGGGUAUUUGUGUUGGGAGUGGAAUAGCAUUGACAGGGAAGGGAUCUAUUUAGUGUUCGUAGAUAGGGACAAAUAGUUUCUAAGCCAUUUAUACUCAUUUAUUUCCCAACAGUAUGUAUGAGCUCUAGCUGCUCCAGAUUCCAGUGACCACUUGGGAUUGUUGGUGCUUUUAUUUAGCCACUCAGUUUGGUAGUUGUGAAACGGCAUCUCAUUAUGGUGUGGUUUUCAUUUGUGCUUCCUACACAGGACUGUGGGCUGCUGACAUGGAUUUAGCUUCUAACUGCCAUCUCCAGUAAGGAGGAGAAAUGGGCAGAGGUCUCUGUCCAGGGGUGAGGCUUCUGGAUGCAGGAAUGCUGGGAUACACCUCUUUGCAACUGGGAGGCCAAGCAGAAGCAGAGUGCCUGGGAGUGAGGGCCACUCUGAUCCUGGGCCGUUAUGAUCCUGGGCCUCAUUUGCAGAGAGGCAACGGGAUGCCAAGGGAAGAGUGGACCUGGGUUCUGACACUUUCUAGUUACCACAUUCUGGGCAAAUUUCUACCUUUGUUAAGUAGAAACAAUAAGGAAAACACGGCAGGGGUUCAAAUAACAGGGCGUGAGAACAAUAUCUGGGACAGAGGUACGCAGAGAUCAGUCCCCUGUACCACUGGGUGCAGUGACUGACAGCUAACUGGAUGGAUAGAUGCAGGAAGAGAAGCAGAACAAGGCCUGUUAGUUAGGCAGCCACUACAGCAGAAGGCCCGGUGACUUGUGUGUCCUUUUUAUGCUUGGAACAUUGCCUUGAGAAAUUACCAGUCUGACUGGUGAGGCAGCACUCGCCUGCCCAUGAUCCUAGCACUUAGGAGGCAGAGGUAGGAUGCUAACACAGGACCAAGGGUAGUCUGGUCUAUAGAGUGAGUUCCAGGCCAGCCAGGGCUACAUAGCAAUCCUCAGUCUC